GCAUGCGUGGCCGAGCGGUCGAAGGCAUCGGAUUGCAAACCCGACGACGAAAGUCCACGCGAGUUCAAAUCUCGCCGCAUGCUCCA
rnacentral:tRNA from 1 species